AACGAACGCUGGCGGCAGGCUUAACACAUGCAAGUCGAACGGCUGUAGCAAUACAGCAGUGGCAGACGGGUGAGUAACACGUGGGAACCUUCCUAGGGGUACGGAACAACUCAGGGAAACUUGAGCUAAUACCGUAUACGUCCGUAAGGAGAAAGAUUCAUCGCCCCUAGACGGGCCCGCGUCGGAUUAGGUAGUUGGUGGGGUAACGGCCUACCAAGCCUACGAUCCGUAGCUGAUCUGAGAGGAUGAUCAGCCACACUGGGACUGAGACACGGCCCAGACUCCUACGGGAGGCAGCAGUGGGGAAUCUUGCGCAAUGGGCGAAAGCCUGACGCAGCGACGCCGCGUGAGGGAUGACGGCC
rnacentral:rRNA from 1 species